rnacentral:rRNA from 1 species
GUUAGGAAUAUUGGACAAUGGGCGCAAGCCUGAUCCAGCCAUGCCGCGUGAGUGAUGAAGGCCUUCGGGUUGUAAAGCUCUUUAGUCCACGAAUAUAAUGACUGUAGUCGGAGAAUAAGCCCCGGCUAACUUCGUGCCAGCAGCCGCGGUAAUACGAAGGGGGCGAGCGUUAUUCGGAAUCACUGGGCGUAAAGCGUGCGUAGGCGGCUUUGCAAGUUGGGAGUGAAAGCCCAGGGCUCAACCCUGGAAUUGCUCUCAAAACUGCAAGGCUCGAAUUCGGGAGAGGAUAGCGGAAUUGUCAGUGUAGCAGUGAAAUGCGUAGAUAUUGACAGGAACACCAGUGGCGUAAGCGGCUAUCUGGACCGAUAUUGACGCUGAGGCACGAAAGCGUGGGGAUCAAACAGGAUUAGAUACCCCAGUAGUCC